CAGGCCUAACACAUGCAAGUCGAGCGGACCAUUCCUUCGGGGAUGGUUAGCGGCGGACGGGUGAGUAACACGUAGGCAACCUGCCUGUAAGAUCGGGAUAACUACCGGAAACGGUAGCUAAGACCGGAUAGCUGGUUUCUCCGCAUGGAGGGAUCAUGAAACAUGGGGCAACCUGUGGCUUACGGAUGGGCCUGCGGCGCAUUAGCUAGUUGGUGGGGUAAUGGCCCACCAAGGCGACGAUGCGUAGCCGACCUGAGAGGGUGAUCGGCCACACUGGGACUGAGACACGGCCCAGACUCCUACGGGAGGCAGCAGUAGGGAAUCUUCCGCAAUGGGCGCAAGCCUGUCGGAGCAACGCCGCGUGAGUGAUGAAGGUUUUCGGAUCGUAAAGCUCUGUUGCCAAGGAAGAACGCCUCGGAGAGUAACUGCUCUGAGGGUGACGGUACUUGAGAAGAAAGCCCCGGCUAACUACGUGCCAGCAGCCGCGGUAAUACGUAGGGGGCAAGCGUUGUCCGGAAUUAUUGGGCGUAAAGCGCGCGCAGGCGGUCUUUUAAGUUUGGUGUUUAAGCCCGGGGCUCAACCCCGGUUCGCACUGAAAACUGGGAGACUUGAGUGCAGGAGAGGAAAGCGGAAUUCCACGUGUAGCGGUGAAAUGCGUAGAGAUGUGGAGGAACACCAGUGGCGAAGGCGGCUUUCUGGACUGUAACUGACGCUGAGGCGCGAAAGCGUGGGGAGCAAACAGGAUUAGAU
rnacentral:rRNA from 1 species